AUUUGGAAGCAUAAGGGUUAGAAUCCCCAUUUCACUCCUUUCACACCCAUUUGCUGCCAAAUUCCUCAAGAAUUUCCCUAAUUUUUCUCAAUCUUUAUCAAUUUUUUGCCAAAUUUGCUCAAGAAUUUGGUCAAAAAUUAUAUUCUCUCAUAUUUUCCUCAAGAAUUUGCUCAUUUUCCUUAAUUUGCUAAAUUUUCUCUCUCUGUUCAGUCAUGAAACAAAGAUAAUUUCCCCAUUUUUCUCAUUUUGCUCUCUCCGCACACCUCAUUGCUGGAUAAUUUCUCUCAUAUUUGCUGGUUUAGAGAUAAUUUCUCCAAGUCGUUGCAUUUGUGGAUUCAGUAAAAGGAUUUAUGCUAUUAUUAUUUUUUUCCAUGAGGUAACUUCAUGCCAUCAGUAAGAGAUAUGAGUAUCAAAUAAAUCUUGUCGAAUAUUGGAUCUUGACAUCCUAGUAAUCUCAAUCAUUUUUAAUCUCUACAUUGUCUAUUCCUUUACCAACAAAAUCAACUUCUACACUAGCAGUUAUCGGGAGAAACAAUCAGAACAGUCAAGGUGAUUAUGACAUAGAAGAUGGUGGGAAUGAAAUUGAUGAACUAGAUCUGACCUAAGAGAUCGAUCACAUAAUUGGCUUCAUGUUACGCUAGCUAUGUUGGAAAAUUCGACCAAGUUUCAAACAAUGAACAUUCAAAACUUGUACAUUUUGUGUUUUUUAAUGGUCAUAAAAAUAUUUGGUUUCUUAGUUGUGAUCAUUUUGGGAGUUAAUAGUUACUGUUACCUUUGUUACUUUGGUGAUUAAUAUGUACAUUUUAUAUG